AUUGAACGCUGGCGGCAGGCCUAACACAUGCAAGUCGAGCGAGCGGCGGACGGGUGAGUAAUGUCUGGGAAACUGCCUGAUGGAGGGGGAUAACUACUGGAAACGGUAGCUAAUACCGCAUACCAUAAGAUUUGCCCAGAUGGGAAUAGCUAGUUGGGGGGGUAAAGGCCUACCAAGGCGACGAUCUGUAGCGGGUCUGAGAGGAUGAUCCGCCAACAUGGGACUGCGACACGGCCCAGACUCCGUCGGGAGGCAGCAAUGGGGAAUAUUUGACAAUGGGGGGAACCCUGGUCCAGCCAUGCCGCGUGUGUGAAGAAGGCCUUAUGGUUAUAAAGCACUUUAAGCGAGGAGGCGUUACUCGCAGAAUAAUCACCGGCUAACUCUGUGCCAGCAGCCGCGGUAAUAC
rnacentral:rRNA from 1 species